UACGUAGGGCGCAAGCGUUGUCCGGAAUCAUUGGGCGUAAAGAGCUCGUAGGCGGCCUGUCGCGUCCGCUGUGAAAUCCCGGGGCUUAACCCCGGGCGUGCAGUGGAUACGGGCUGGCUGGAGGCAGGCAGGGGAGAACGGAAUUCCCGGUGUAGCGGUGAAAUGCGCAGAUAUCGGGAGGAACACCUGUGGCGAAAGCGGCUCACUGGACCACAACUGACGCUGAGGCGCGAAAGCUAGGGGAGCAAACAGG
rnacentral:rRNA from 1 species